CUACGGAGAGCAGGAAUUGCAAUAGAAGGACUGUCACUUCAGCAAGCAAUUACAAAAUGCUGAACGGCACAAGUUGUACCUAGAUUGAAGCCAGUUAUACAAGCAUUACCAGCCUGCAUUCUCUGGGAGUUAUGGAAGAGAAGAAAUAGUUUGAAACAUGGAGAAGUGUCAGUAAAUAGAGUUAUUUACCAAGUGUCAUCGACGCUGCAAGCAUUAGUUCAACUGAAAAAACCAGGAUUACAUGUGCCUCACAAAUGGUUAGACUUACUGACAAUGAUGGAGAAAUACACACCUCGUCUGAAGUAUGAUAAAGUACUGUGGGAAUUCCCUCCAACAGGAUGGAUCAAGGUCAAUACUGAUGGUGCCUGCAGAGGUAAUCCAGGAAGAAGUUCAAUAGGUUUCUGCUUAAGAGAUGAGACAGGUGAUUUAAUUUACGCAGAAGGAAGAGAAAUUAAUGAAGGAUCCAACAAUGAAUCAGAAGCAAUUGCUAUUGUGGAGGCACUGAGGAAGUGCCAAAAUCUCAAUUUGCACCACAUUUGGUUACAGACAGAUUCUUUGCUUUUAAAAAACAUUAUUGAUGAACUGUGGAAGCCUCCUUGGGUUAUUAUAGAUCAGGUAGAAGAGAUAUUAAAGCUGACAAGACAAAAUAUAAUUAAAGUCACUCACAUAUUCAGAGAAGGGAACUCAAUAGCAGAUCACUUGGCUAACUAUGCUCUAGAUGAAGGAAAUAUUGUAUGUCAUGGAUUCUGGGAUAUGGAUUCGAAGGGAAGAAGGAUUAUUUUAUGAAGAUAAGAUGCAAUGUCCUUACUUACGAGUAAAAGUUGCACGGAAUUAGAAGGAAAAUCUGAAGCCUUCAUCAUCGAGGAAAGGAUAACAUGGGGAUAAUUUUCAACUAACAUUUAUUUUCCUUUUUUGCUGGGACGAGCUUGAACUUACUUUGUGGAUAAUUUUCUUCUGUCGACUACAAGCGACACAAAAUAUUUUGAGCAAUAAAGGAUUAGGUGUAACAUGGUGCAUCCAACAGCAUGUUAUGGAAAUCUGGAAUUUACCUAAACAUGAAGGAGAUAACUUCAUGGGAAACAGAUGGUACUUCUGGACAGAAGCAACAUCGAGGAUCGAUACUCCGCGUGAUAUGAGGACAGCAUCAACUCGCGCAUGCUCAUGCGAAAUUCAAGUUAACAGAGGGCAUGCUGCAAUUUAAUACUCCUUCGCAUUGGCUUUGGCGAAGUGGUCGCGCAUGGUCUUUGAUCUGCAGGCUGUCGCGC
rnacentral:lncRNA from 1 species